rnacentral:rRNA from 1 species
UGAGGAAUAUUAGUAAUGGGCGAAAGCCUGAACUAGCAACACCGCGUGUGCGAAGAAGGCCUUCGGGUUGUAAAGCACUUUUUGAGAGGAUGAGGAAGGACGGUACUCUCAGAAUAAGUCUCGGCUAACUACGUGCCAGCAGCCGCGGUAACACGUAGGAGGCAAACGUUAUCCGGAUUUACUGGGCGUAAAGCGCGUGUAGGUGGUUUGGUAAGUAGAGCGUGAAAGCUCCUGGCUCAACUGGGAGAGGUCGUUCUAAACUGCCGGACUAGAGGAUGGUAGAGGGAGGUGGAAUUCCGGGUGUAGCGGUGGAAUGCGCAGAUAUCCGGAGGAACACCAGUGGCGAAAGCGGCCUCUUGGACCACUCCUGACACUCAGACGCGAAAGCUAGGGUAGCAAACG